rnacentral:piRNA from 1 species
UUUGUUGAGCCUCCUGAUAGAUCAUUAUUGU